CCGGAGGCAGCAGUGGGGAAUUUUGGACAAUGGGCGCAAGCCUGAUCCAGCAAUGCCGCGUGAGUGAAGAAGGCCUUCGGGUUGUAAAGCUCUUUUGUCAGGGAAGAAACGACGGUCUCGAAUAAAGACAGUUAAUGACGGUACCUGAAGAAUAAGCACCGGCUAACUACGUGCCAGCAGCCGCGGUAAUACGUAGGGUGCAAGCGUUAAUCGGAAUUACUGGGCGUAAAGCGUGCGCAGGCGGUUCUGUAAGUCAGAUGUGAAAUCCCCGGGCUCAACCUGGGAAUGGCAUUUGAGACUGCAAAGCUAGAGUGUGUCAGAGGGGGGUAGAAUUCCACGUGUAGCAGUGAAAUGCGUAGAGAUGUGGAGGAAUGCCGAUGGCGAAGGCAGCCCCCUGGGAUAACACUGACGCUCAUGCACGAAAGCGUGGGGAGCAAACAGGAUUAGAAACCCCGGUAGUCC
rnacentral:rRNA from 1 species